rnacentral:rRNA from 1 species
UACGUAGGGUGCGAGCGUUAAUCGGAAUUACUGGGCGUAAAGCGUGCGUAGGCGGUUCGCUGUGUCCGAUGUGAAAGCCCCGGGCUUAACCUGGGAAUGGCAUUGGAAACUGGCGGGCUUGAGUGCGGCAGAGGGGGGUGGAAUUCCGGCGUGUAGCAGUGAAAUGCGUAGAGAUGUGGAGGAACACCGAUGGCGAAGGCAGCCUCCUGGGCCAGCACUGACGCUCAUGCACGAAAGCGUGGGGAGCAA